GAUGAACGCUGGCGGCGUGCCUAAUACAUGCAAGUCGUGCGAACGGACGAGAAGCUUGCUUUUCUGAUGUUAGCGGCGGACGGGUGAGUAACACGUGGAUAACCUACCUAUAAGACUGGGAUAACUUCGGGAAACCGGAGCUAAUACCGGAUAAUAUUUUGAACCGCAUGGUUCAAAAGUGAAAGACGGUCUUGCUGUCACUUAUAGAUGGAUCCGCGCUGCAUUAGCUAGUUGGUAAGGUAACGGCUUACCAAGGCAACGAUGCAUAGCCGACCUGAGAGGGUGAUCGGCCACACUGGAACUGAGACACGGUCCAGACUCCUACGGGAGGCAGCAGUAGGGAAUCUUCCGCAAUGGGCGAAAGCCUGACGGAGCAACGCCGCGUGAGUGAUGAAGGUCUUCGGAUCGUAAAACUCUGUUAUUAGGGAAGAACAUAUGUGUAAGUAACUGUGCACAUCUUGACGGUACCUAAUCAGAAAGCCACGGCUAACUACGUG
rnacentral:rRNA from 1 species